CAGCCGCCACGGGAAUACGUAGGUGGCAAGCGUUGUCCGGAAUUAUUGGGCGUAAAGGGCUCGCAGGCGGUUUCUUAAGUCUGAUGUGAAAGCCCCCGGCUCAACCGGGGAGGGUCAUUGGAAACUGGGAAACUUGAGUGCAGAAGAGGAGAGUGGAAUUCCACGUGUAGCGGUGAAAUGCGUAGAGAUGUGGAGGAACACCAGUGGCGAAGGCGACUUUCUGGACGAAAACUGACGCUGAGGCGCGAAAGCGUGGGGAGCGAACAGGAUUAGAUACCCCAGUAGUCCCUGUCUCUUAUAC
rnacentral:rRNA from 1 species